GAGCGGUAAGGCCUUUCGGGGUACACGAGCGGCGAACGGGUGAGUAAACGUGGGUGAUCUGCCCUGCACUUCGGGAUAAGCCUGGGAAACUGGGUCUAAUACCGGAUAUGACCUCCUAUCGCAUGGGGGUGGUGGAAAGAUUUAUCGGUGCAGGAUGGGCCCGCGGCCUAUCAGCUUGUUGGUGGGGUAAUGGCCUACCAAGGCGCGACGGGUAGCCGACCUGAGAGGGUGACCGGCCACACUGGGACUGAGACACGGCCCAGACUCCUACGGGAGGCAGCAGUGGGAAUAUUGCACAAUGGGCGAAAGCCUGAUGCAGCGACGCCGCGUGAGGGAUGACGGCCUUCGGGUUGUAAACCUCUUCAGCAGGGACGAAGCGCAAGUGACGGUACCUGCAGAAGAAGCACCGGCUAACUACGUGCCAGCAGCCGCGGUAAUACGUGGGUGCAAGCGUUGUCCGGAAUUACUGGGCGUAAAGAGUUCGUAGGCGGUUUGUCGCGUCGUUUGUGAAAACCAGCAGCCAACUGCUGGCUUGCAGGCGAUACGGGCAGACUUGAGUACUGCAGGGGAGACUGGAAUUCCUGGUGUAGCGGUGAAAUGGCAGAUAUCAGGAGGAA
rnacentral:rRNA from 1 species